ensembl:snRNA U1 U1 spliceosomal RNA
AGACUUACUGGCAGGGGAAGUACCAUGAUCACAGUGGUGGUUUUCCCAGGUCGAGACUCGUCCACUGCACUCCAGAUGUGCUGGCCCCUACGAUCUCCCCAGAUGUGGGAAACUCAACUACGUAAUUUGUGGUAGUGGUGGACUGCGUUUACACUGUCCCCUA